rnacentral:misc_RNA from 1 species
GGACUACUGGGGUAUCUAAUCCUGUUUGCUCCCCACGCUUUCGCACCUCAGCGUCAGUAUCGAGCCAGUGAGCCGCCUUCGCCACUGGUGUUCCUCCGAAUAUCUACGAAUUUCACCUCUACACUAGGAAUUCCACUCACCUCUUCCGGACUCUAGACUUGCAGUAUCAAAGGCAGUUCCGAGGUUGAGCCCCGGGAUUUCACCCCUGACUAACAAAUCCGCCUACGUGCGCUUUACGCCCAGUAAUUCCGAACAACGCUAGCCCCCUUCGUAUUACCGCGGCGGCUGGCACCA